CANCAUGCCGCGGUGAAUACGUUCCCGGGCCUUGUACACACCGCCCGUCACACCAUGAGAGUUUGUAACACCCAAAGUCGGUGGGGUAACCUUUUAGGAACCAGCCCGCCUAAGGUGGGACAGAUGAUUAGGGUGAAGUCGUAACAAGGUAGCCGUAGGAGAACCUGCGGCUGGAUCACCUCCUUU
rnacentral:rRNA from 1 species